AAUCCGUGUUGCGGUUACAUUCUCAGUAGCUCCUUGAACCUUUCCCACGUCUCAAAUAGAGACUCCAAUUCCUGACUGUACAAAGGAUGAGAUCUCAUUCCUAGGCUU